rnacentral:tRNA from 1 species
AAGGCUUUAAGUUAAAUAAACUAAUAGCCUUCAAAGCUAUAAAUAGGGCAAAUACGCUUUAAGCCUUA